rnacentral:rRNA from 1 species
GACAGAGGGGGCAAGCGUUGCUCGGAAUCACUGGGCGUAAAGGGCGCGUAGGCGGGAUGGCAAGUCGGUCGUGAAAUCCUUCGGCUCAACCGAAGAACGUCGGCCGAUACUGCCGUUCUUGAGGGAUGCAGAGGAGAUUGGAAUUCCCGGUGUAGCGGUGAAAUGUGUAGAGAUCGGGAGGAACACCGGUGGCGAAGGCGGGUCUCUGGACCGGUACUGACGCUGAUGCGCGAAAGCGUGGGGAGCAAACGGG